CUACCCCUAAGAGGGGGACAACUCCGCGAAAGCGGGGCUAAUACCCCAUAAGACCACGGGCUGGGAUGUCUGUGGUAAAAGAAGCGAUUCGCUUAGGGAUGGGCCUGCGGCCUAUCAGGUAGUUGGUGGGGUAAUGGCCCACCAAGCCGAAGACGGGUAGCCGGGCUGAGAGGUUGGACGGCCACACUGGAACUGAGACACGGUCCAGACUCCUACGGGAGGCAGCAGUGGGGAAUUUUGCGCAAUGGGGGAAACCCUGACGCAGCGACGCCGCGUGGAGGAUGAAGGCCUUCGGGUCGUAAACUCCUUUUCUCAGGGACAAUGAUGAUGGUACCUGAGGAAUAAGCCACGGCUAACUCUGUGCCAGCAGCCGCGGUAAGACAGAGGUGGCAAGCGUUGUUCGGAAUCACUGGGCUUAAAGGGCGCGUAGGCGGUCGUGUAAGUCUGUGGUGGAAUCUUAGGGCUUAACCCUAAAACUGCCAUGGAGACUGCAUGGCUUGAGUCAGUGAGGGGAGGGUAGAAUUCCUGGUGUAGCGGUGAAAUGCGUAGAUAUCAGGAGGAAGGCCGGUGGCGAAGGUGGCCCUCUGGCGCUGAACUGACGCUGAGGCGCGAAAGCGUGGGGAGCAAACAGGAUUAGAUACCCU
rnacentral:rRNA from 1 species